AUACACUGUGUUUAUGACAAUGAAACCUUGGUAAACGCCAUUCUGUCGUGUUUCUUGAAGUCAAGUUCAUUUUUUUUCAGACAUUAACGGACCAGCCUCUGAGCGGAUCUCAAACGGUUGAAGAAAAUGAUUGACGGGCUUGUUUUGUUCUGUUUAUUUUUUUCUCCUCUGAUCGGCGCUGAGCCGCAUGAGAUCGUGUCAGCGAUGGAGGGAGAGUCGUUCACUCUCCGAACUGGUUUCACUGAAAGACAGGGCGAUCAAGACAUCGAGUGGAGGUUUGGAUCGAGCAGGACUUUGUUAACCAGAAUAAAGUCAGGAAACAUCAUUACAUUCAGUCACACGGUAUUCAGAGACAGACUGCAGCUCGACAGACAGACUGGAGAUCUCACCAUCACAAACAUCGAUAAUGAACACACUGGAGUUUAUGAACUAAGUAUCGAUCUCGGACAGACAGAGUUGCAAAAAAUAUUCAUUGUCACUGUUUAUGCUCCUGUGCCUGUUCCUGUCAUCACCAGAUAUUCUCCUCAGUGUUCAUCAUCAUCAUCAU